rnacentral:lncRNA from 1 species
GGGAGGGAUUGAAGGGUCUAUUUAGCAAAAGAAAAAAAGUUUGUGGCAAAUAACAAUAUCUACGAAAAUUACGAGGCCUUAAUUCUCGUAGUGUUAUUUUCCUCUUGAGUAAUCACCAUUACCAAGGAACUAGAGCAAGGUUCUUAUCCUUGUACAUGAGGUAUCUUGUGCAUAGCUUCUUUAAUGUUGCAACCGAAUGCUUGUACAUGGACUGGUUCAAACGUGACCAAGUAGUUAAAUCUGGUAGUAGAUCAUUAGAGAAGUAACCAGCGCCACUCUCUCUGUUUAUACAACGGAGUCUCGGACAAUGAAUAAGAGUGUAAUGUGUAAUUCUUAUAAUAAACAU